rnacentral:lncRNA from 1 species
UCAACUAUACGUAUUUCGAUAAUAAACAAGGCAACCAAAUAUUUAUAUUAGUACUAAUUCAAAAUAUUGUCAUUCAUUGCCAUCUCAUAAUGGCAUCAUCAUAUCACAUAUACAUCUAUUGUUUGUAGCCUAAAUCUUAGCGAUUUACAUCAAGUGUAAAUCCACAUGCAAAAUUCUUGAUGACCAGCGGAGUGACUUGGGUGAGGCCACAGCUACCGAAUGCCAUAUACCUACCAAGGGGUGAAUACGAGUGGUCUCCUUAAU